AGUGAACGCUGGCGGUAGGCCUAACACAUGCAAGUCGAACGGCAGCACAGUAAGAUCUUGCUCUUACGGGUGGCGAGUGGCGGACGGGUGAGGAAUACAUCGGAAUCUACUUUUUCGUGGGUGAUAACGUAGGGAAACUUACGCUAAUACCGCAUACGACCUACGGGUUAAAGCAGGGGAUCUUCGGACCUUUCGCGAUUGAAUGAGCCGAUGUCGGAUUAGCUAGUUGGCGAGGUAAAGGCCCACCAAGGCGACGAUCCGUAGCUGGUCUGAGAGGAUGAUCAGCCACACUGGAACUGAGACACGGUCCAGACUCCUACGGGAGGCAGCAGUGGGGAAUAUUGGACAAUGGGCGCAAGCCUGAUCCAGCAAUACCGCGUGGGUGAAGAAGGCCUUCGGGUUGUAAAGCUCUUUUGUUGGGAAAGAAAAGCAGCAGGUUAAUACACCGCCGUCCUGACGGUACCUAAAGAAUAAGCACCGGCUAACUUCGUG
rnacentral:rRNA from 1 species